rnacentral:rRNA from 1 species
GACGAACGCUGGCGGCGUGCUUAACACAUGCAAGUCGAACGGAAAGGCCCUGCUUUUGUGGGGUGCUCGAGUGGCGAACGGGUGAGUAACACGUGAGUAACCUGCCCUUGACUUUGGGAUAACUUCAGGAAACUGGGGCUAAUACCGGAUAGGCGCUCCUGCUGCAUGGUGGGGGUUGGAAAGUUUCGGCGGUUGGGGAUGGACUCGCGGCUUAUCAGUUUGUUGGUGGGGUAGUGGCUUACCAAGGCUUUGACGGGUAGCCGGCCUGGGAGGGUGACCGGCCACAUGGGGACUGAGAGAGGGCCCAGACUCCUACGGGAGGCAGCAGUGGGAAAUAUUGCACAAUGGGCGGAAGCCUGAGGCGGCAACGCCGCGGGCGGGAUGACGGCCUGCGGGUUGUAAACCGCUUUCGCCUGUGACGAAGCGUGAGUGACGGUAAUGUGUAAAGAAGCACCGGCUAACUACGUG